AACGUAGGAGGCAAGCGUUAUCCGGAGUAACUGGGCGUAAAGGGCGAGUAGGUGGUUGUGUAAGUUGGUUAUGAAAGCUCCUGGCUAAACUGGGAGAGGUUGACCAAGACUGCACGACUUGAGUGGAGAAGAGGUAAACGGAAUUCCGCGUGUAGUGGUGAAAUGCGUAGAGAUGCGGAAGAACACCAGUGGCGAAGGCGGUUUACUGGUCUCCAAACUUGACACUGAACCGCGAAAGCAUGGGUAGCGAACGGGG
rnacentral:rRNA from 1 species